rnacentral:rRNA from 1 species
UAGGGAAUCUUCGGCAAUGGGGGGAACCCUGACCGAGCAACGCCGCGUGAGUGAAGAAGGUUUUCGGAUCGUAAAGCUCUGUUGUUAAGGAAGAACGAGUGUGAGAAUGGAAAGUUCAUGCUGUGACGGUACUUAACCAGAAAGGGACGGCUAACUACGUGCCAGCAGCCGCGGUAAUACGUAGGUCCCGAGCGUUGUCCGGAUUUAUUGGGCGUAAAGCGCGCGCAGGUGGUUUAGAAAGUCUGAUGUGAAAGCCCACGGCUCAACCGUGGAGGGUAAUUGGAAACUAAUAAACUUGAGUGCAGGAGAGAAAAGUGGAAUUCCUAGUGUAGCGGUGAAAUGCGUAGAGAUUAGGAGGAACACCGGUGGCGAAAGCGGCUUUUUGGCCUGCAACUGACACUGAGGCGCGAAAGCGUGGGGAGCAAACAGG